rnacentral:rRNA from 1 species
AAUAGAUACCCCGGUAGUCCACGCCGUAAACGAUGGAUACUAGCUGUUGGGGGCGACCUCAGUGGCUAAGCGAAAGUGAUAAGUAUCCCACCUGGGGAGUACGUUCGCAAGAAUGAAACUCAAAGGAAUUGACGGGGGCCUGCACAAGCGGUGGAGCAUGUGGUUUAAUUCGAUGAUACGCGAGGAACCUUACCAAGGCUUAAAUGCAGACUGACCGUUUUGGAAACAGAACUUUCGCAAGACAGUCUACAAGGUGCUGCAUGGUUGUCGUCAGCUCGUGCCGUGAGGUGUCAGGUUAAGUCCUAUAACGAGCGCAACCCCUGUUGUUAGUUGCCAGCGAGUAGUGUCGGGAACUCUAACAAGACUGCCAGUGCAAACUGUGAGGAAGGUGGGGAUGACGUCAAAUCAUCACGGCCCCUUACGCCUUGGGCUACACACGUGCUACAAUGGCCGGUACAGAGAGCAGCCACCUCGCGAGGGGGGAGCGAAUCUACAAAGCCGGUCACAGUUCGGAUCGGGAGUCGUGCAACUCG